UUUUGUUAUAAUUCAGUUUCGACCUGAUAAUAGUCUAAGACAACAAAAA
rnacentral:tRNA from 1 species